rnacentral:rRNA from 1 species
GGUUAAGCGACUAAGCGUACACGGUGGAUGCCCUGGCAGUCAGAGGCGAUGAAGGACGUGCUAAUCUGCGAUAAGCGUCGGUAAGGUGAUAUGAACCGUUAUAACCGGCGAUUUCCGAAUGGGGAAACCCAGUGUGUUUCGACACACUAUCAUUAACUGAAUCCAUAGGUUAAUGAGGCGAACCGGGGGAACUGAAACAUCUAAGUACCCCGAG